rnacentral:rRNA from 1 species
AGAUUGAACGCUGGCGGCAUGCCUUACACAUGCAAGUCGAACGGCAGCACGGGGGCAACCCUGGUGGCGAGUGGCGAACGGGUGAGUAAUGCAUCGGAACGUGCCCAGUAGUGGGGGAUAACUAGUCGAAAGAUUAGCUAAUACCGCAUACGACCUAAGGGUGAAAGCGGGGGAUUCGCAAGAACCUCGCGCUAUCGGAGCGGCCGAUGUCUGAUUAGCUGGUGGCGGGUAAAGCCCACCAAGGCUUCGAUCAGUAGCUGGUCUGAGGAGGACCGACCAGCCACACGUGGGACUGAGACCACGGCCCAGACCUCCUACGGGAGCAGCAGGUAGGGGUAAUUUU